ACAGUCCUCUAAGAGAAGCAUGGAUUCUUAAGCUUUGAGUCCAUGGUGGGGUCUACAAUUAUGUUCCUGUUCUGUAUGUUCCAUACAAAUGCAUAAUAUAUGGUUUCUGUGACUGGCUUUAUUCACAGAAACCAUGAAUAGAAUAACAGUUUCAAGAGUCAUCCACUUGUCGCAUAUCAGUGCUUCCUUCUUCUUUGUGGGGGAAGAGAACUUCCAGUCUUCUGUGCAUUUCUGACCGGUAUCACACAUGUUCAAAACAAACUCCUUCUUCACUCCCCUCUGCUUUAUCACUCCAACACCA